GAAGGAGAAGAAGAUGACGAUAACGAUGACGAGGAAGAAGACGAUGGCGAAGAAAACAGGAGAAGAGCCUUUGAGCAAAUGUGCGAUGGGCUUUUAGAAGAAGAGAUCGAGGUUUUCCAUCAGUGCGAAACACAGACGGGCUAUUCUCCAGAAAAUUAUGAAGAUUAAUACGCUCUAUAAAAGCUUUGUAAAAGCGAAGAGGAAAGCUGCUCAAGUACAAACAGGAGGAGGCAUUUCACGC